AGCUUUGCGCAGUGGCAGAAUUGUAGCCAAUGAGGUUUAUCCGAGGCACGAUUAUUGCUAAUUGAAACCAAAGGAGAAUAUUUCUAAUGUAUCUCUUGAGAAUUCUAAGAACAUGCAGAGAAU
ensembl:snRNA U4 U4 spliceosomal RNA